UGUACAGUUUUGGCCAGGGGACCAAGCUGGAGAUCAAACAUAUUUGAGUUCUGGGUCUGGAUCCUGGUAGCCACCACACAGGCAGCAAACCCAUUGCUGCAAGGAUGGGUGAUAUAUGUCUCACUCACCUUGUUUCUCAUCUCCCUGGUGUUCCUGUUGUCUUCCUUGUUUGGAUUUUACAAAAGAUUUGAAUCCUGGAGAGUUCUGUUCUUUGCCUUCGUCACCAUGCUGCUCUACAUUCUCCAUGCCUUCAGCAUCUAUUACCGCACAGGCACCAGGCCAAGGGGGAAAUGCUCUUUGAGAGCCCUGAUUAUUUCUCCCCAAAAGCAGCUUCCAGUGCUUGCCAUCUGGAUGAUAAACAGAAGAUACACUAAAACAUCCACAGGAUUAACAGAGCUUCCUUGCAGACUAAGCGAUGACACCACACUUUGGACAUUUAAAUUCACUCUACUGAAUAGGAGGAAGCUUUCAUUUUCUUUUUCCUGGGAAAGUAACUGUCUCUUGGAAUUAUCUGACUGUGAACUUGCUCUUCUAGCAAACUCACAUCAAAGCCCUCACUGUUGAGAAUCCCAGCUCCACUGUCAAGCCUGUUUAGGAAUUUUGCCUCAGCUGUGGGCUUCCCUAGAGUAGGUUCAGGGGAAUACUCAGCCUGAUUCUCUUGAAAUUGAAGAGGUGCCGCCAAGGCCUUCAGAUCUAAUGCAGAUCCACAGA
rnacentral:sRNA from 1 species